UCAGAGUUCAGGAUUUGUAAGGGAACUAUUAUUCUGACCCUUCUUCACUCUCGCUUUCACUUUCAGCAGUAUUCAACCAGUCGACAAAUUGUUUGCCACCGGCAUCACGAAGCGCAGCCAAUUCUCCUUCGCUAGAGCGGGGAUCAGAAUACCAUUCUUGAAUGGCAUUCUCUUCAGCAAUUUCUAAUUGGUAGAAAUAUCCCAAAAGUUGUAAAAAGUGCCGAGUCAUACUCAAACGGACACAGUACUUCUGCAGCGUUAAUACGUUGUCAACUUGCUCUUCAUGGCUAAAUGUCAGUUUUGCAAGCAAUGGACCCCAACGUGUCAUUACUUUUGCUAGUGCCUCCUUGGGGGAUACAUCUAAGUGCAUGAUACGCCUUAAAAGAGCAAGAACAAUUGCGGAUCGCACCUCGUGAUAGUUGGCAUUCAUGGCCAUUCGGAGGGUAUUGAGUUCAAGAGCAGCAAUAUCAAUUUGGUGGUUUUCUUCAAAGGCACGUUCAAGACUCUGCUGAGCUUCCUUGUUGAAAUCUCCUUCAUCGAAAUCCUCUGAGUUAAUUGUAUUGGCAGAAUCGCGUCUAGCUGAAAAGGGAAUAAAUUCCAUAUCUUCUUCAGAAGACGAACUUGUCUCUGAAGAUUCUGAAUCAGAUAAAUGUAACUCAUUUGUACUUUCAAUAAGCCCUGAAGCCUCCAUAAACUCUCCCUCAUCAUCAGAAUCCUCUUCGGCAUGAUAUUCUUGACCACGUCCACCAAUCCCUACCAAAGAUGGAUCGUUCAAAGUUCCUUGAGAGUGACUCUCGAAAGUUGUAAGACGCUUAUUUUUUUCAAUUAUUGUAUUAUCCCCAAUAACAACGCCUGCAGCUACUAUAGCACCAUCUUCAAUUGAACAAUUAUUUCCAAUUUUUACAGAAUUGGCAAGAAUGGCUUUGCCAAUUCGACAAUUAUCUCCAAUGACAACAUCUUCCCAAAGGAAAGCACUGUCUAUACUACAAUUGCUGCCUAUGGUACAAUUCCUACCAAUGAUAGUAUUCGCAACCACAGACGCAUCACCGACUUUGGUAUAGGCACCGAUCAAAGUUCGUGCCUUAAUAAUGCAAGAACGAGCAAGAACAACGUCUUCUUCCUUAUAAAUCUGAUGUCUUUGAUAACUAAAAGUUUGGUUAAGAAGAUUGCUAUCGGGAACAAAAGGAUAGACCCAUCGAGAAAGAACAUCUUUGCUAAUAGCAUCAUAAGUUUGAAGACUACGAACACGAGCUGCAUAAUUUUCUUUAGCAACAUGGCAAUGAAUCUUUUUUCCUAAAAGAUCAGAGGUUAAAACACCAUAUACGAAGUCUUUUCGAAUGUCUUGGUAAUCAAAGUUUUCAGUAAAAAGGGCAGGUACAUCAUUGGAGCAAAUGUCAAUUUGACAGUCAAUCAAAUCAUUUCGAACCUCCAACUCUUCAUGCUCAUUAAAGAUUUCGGGAUCCAUAGAAACAUAAUGUUUUCCCCUUUCGUUAGCUUGAUAAUGCACGCAUUGGCUGGUCUUUUUAUCUAUCACGAAAACAGAACUCUCUGUACGGGCGCGUGUACGAUGAAAUGGACUUGCUUCUCGUACAACCAUUGUCAUAAUAGCAUUUUUAUCAUCUUCACGGCGCUUCCGAUGUUCUUUCAAAACUUCGUUUAGAGGCACAUUGGAUACCACAUCGCCUGAUACGAGUAUGAAAUCGGAGGUAAUUAGCUGUUUUGAAUCGAGCUCUCUUAAAGCAUCACCAACCGACAGAGAUUCUCUUGACACAAUCGUGUUUACACUAAAGGGGGAAGAGGGAAGAUUCCACUUUGACUUUCUGUGGGUUAUAUUGUGUUAGUUAUAUCGUAUCAGAAAUUCGAAUUUAAGACCUCAAUUUAGCACAUACUCUAUAUAUUCUCGAAUUUGUCCUGCAUGGGCACAGCAAAAUACAUAAACUUCUUGCACCCCGGCCAAUGCCAAAAACUCAAAAGUGUACUCUAUUAAAGGGGUAUUUGCUAAAGGAAGAAGACACUAAUAAUAUUAGUACUUAAAGUGUACACUGGUAAUUGCAUACGCGAGGUUUAUCUAAUGUAAGAGGGCGAAACCGAUAAUUAUAAGAAUCCGACAAAACAAUCGCUAAAAAUUAGUAACAAACACUUUUUGAAUCCCAAAAACAUUACCUUGCAGAGCGUGUUUUGGCUUUUCUAGCUUGCCAUUCAGCCCUUUGGAUGGAGGCAUUUCGACAAUGUAGAGGGAUUAGACAUAUUUCUCAAUAUCAUUUAAGCCCAAACAGUCAUUUAAGGAUGCCGUGCUCCACUGCCUUAUAACUUAAAGAUUAUUCUAAACAAUUCAUCAACUAGAGACUAAAAAGGAAUUUAUAAAGACGUUAAUAAUCAAAGAGUAAUUAA
rnacentral:lncRNA from 1 species